GUGAGGAAUUUUCCGCAAUGGGCGAAAGCCUGACGGAGCAAUGCCGCGUGAAGGAUGAAGGCCUAUGGGUUGUAAACUUCUUUUCUCAGAAAAGAAUUAUGACGGUAUCUGAGGAAUAAGCAUCGGCUAACUCUGUGCCAGCAGCCGCGGUAAGACAGAGGAUGCAAGCGUUAUCCGGAAUGAUUGGGCGUAAAGCGUCUGUAGGUUGUUUAAAAAGUAUUCUGUCAAAGAUUAGUGCUUAACCCUAGAUAGGCAGAAUAAACUUUUAAGCUAGAGUUUGGUAGAGGCAGAGGGAAUUCCCGGUGGAGCGGUGAAAUGCGUAGAUAUCGGGAGGAACACCAAAGGCGAAGGCACUCUGCUGGGCCAAUACUAACACUGAGAGACGAAAGCGAGGGGAGCAAAUGGGAUUAGAAACCCUAGUAGUCC
rnacentral:rRNA from 1 species